GAAGAAUCUCCUUUCGUCGUGUUUGUACGUUUGAGGUAGAGGGCUCUUGCAUGACGCCAUGGCUUCGGUCCCAGGCCGUGUUCCGGGGGUGGCAGGGGUGAGGCCAUGGGUAGGUAAUUUCGCAGCAUCCGAUGACAGCAAAAGGAAAAAACCUCGGGAGGAAGGGCUUGAUUUUUAAAAAGAUUCUCGGGUGUUU
rnacentral:sRNA from 1 species